UUUUGGGGAAUUUUCCGCAAUGGGCGAAAGCCUGACGGAGCAAUACCGCGUGAGGGAGGAAGGCUCUUGGGUCGUAAACCUCUUUUCUCAAGGAAGAAAAAAAUGACGGUACUUGAGGAAUCAGCAUCGGCUAACUCCGUGCCAGCAGCCGCGGUAAUACGGAGGAUGCAAGCGUUAUCCGGAAUGAUUGGGCGUAAAGCGUCCGCAGGUGGCUGUGUAAGUCUGCUGUUAAAGCGUCUGGCUUAACCAGAUACAAGCAGUGGAAACUACACAGCUAGAGUGCGUUCGGGGCAGAGGGAAUUCCUGGUGUAGCGGUGAAAUGCGUAGAUAUCAGGAAGAACACCGGUGGCGAAAGCGCUCUGCUAGGCCGCAACUGACACUGAGGACGAAAGCU
rnacentral:rRNA from 1 species